rnacentral:rRNA from 1 species
UUCGCAAUGCCCGAAAGGGUGACGAAGCGACGCCGCGUGUGGGAAGAAGGCCUUCGGGUUGUAAACCACUGUCGGGAGUUAGGAAAUGUAAGGGUGCUAAUAGUAUUCUUACUUGACUAAGGCUCCGGAGGAAGCCACGGCUAACUCUGUGCCAGCAGCCGCGGUAAUACAGAGGCGGCAAGCGUUGUUCGGAAUUAUUGGGCGUAAAGAGCACGUAGGCGGCCUUGUAAGUCAGUUGUGAAAGCCUUCUGCUUAACGGAAGAACAGCAGCUGAUACUGCAAGGCUAGAGUGCGGAAGGGGAGAGUGGAACUUCUGGUGGGGCGGUGAAAUGCGUAGAUAUCAGAAGGAACACCGGCGGCGAAGGCGACUCUCUGGUCCGUAACUGACGCUGAGUGUGCGAAAGCUAGGGGAGCAAACGGGAUUAGAUACCCCGGUAGUCCUAGCCGUAAAC